rnacentral:rRNA from 1 species
AUUGCCCCAGUAACGGCGAGUGAAGCGGCAACAGCUCAAAUUUGAAAUCUGGCUCUCGGGCCCGAGUUGUAAUUUGUAGAGGAUGCUUUUGGUGAGGUGCCUUCCGAGUUCCCUGGAACGGGACGCCAUAGAGGGUGAGAGCCCCGUCUGGUUGGACACCGAUCCUCUGUAAAGCUCCUUCGACGAGUCGAGUAGUUUGGGAAUGCUGCUCUAAAUGGGAGGUAUAUGUCUUCUAAAGCUAAAUACCGGCCAGAGACCGAUAGCGCACAAGUAGAGUGAUCGAAAGAUGAAAAGAACUUUGAAAAGAGAGUUAAAAAGUACGUGAAAUUGUUGAAAGGGAAGCGCUUGUGACCAGACUUGGGCUUGGUUGAUCAUCCGGGGUUCUCCCCGGUGCACUCUUCCGGCUCAGGCCAGCAUCAGUUCGCCCUGGGGGAUAAAGGCUUCGGGAAUGUGGCUCUCUCCGGGGAGUGUUAUAGCCCGCUGCGUAAUACCCUGUGGCGGACUGAGGUUCGCGCAUUCGCAAGGAU